rnacentral:rRNA from 1 species
UACGUAGGGUCCGAGCGUUGUCCGGAAUUAUUGGGCGUAAAGGGCUCGUAGGCGGUCUGUCGCGUCGGGAGUGAAAACUCGGGGCUUAACUCCGAGCCUGCUUCUGAUACGGGCAGACUAGAGGUAUGCAGGGGAGAAUGGAAUUCCUGGUGUAGCGGUGAAAUGCGCAGAUAUCAGGAGGAACACCGGUGGCGAAGGCGGUUCUCUGGGCAUGACCUGACGCUGAGGAGCGAAAGUGUGGGGAGCGAACAGG